AGGGAAAACCAACGGUGUUAGGUUUGUUGGUGAGCCGAGGGUAAAACCAACGUGUAAGGGUUCGAUUGUGAUCCCGGAAAAACAAUCGGGGAGGUUCUAGUCGGUGAGCCUGGGAAAACCGACCGAGUUCGUUGUGACCUCGUAAAACAACAAGUUGGGUUGUGAGCUUGUAAAACAACCGGCUGUAAUCUGUGGGAUUAUAGUGAAAUUCCCAAGAAGUCUUGGGGAGUGGAUGUAGGUGCUGGGGUGCACCGAACCACU
rnacentral:lncRNA from 1 species